rnacentral:misc_RNA from 1 species
UGCGGAGGGAUCAUUACCGAGUUUACAACUCCCAAACCCCUGUGAACAUACCACUUGUUGCCUCGGCGGAUCAGCCCGCUCCCGGUAAAACGGGACGGCCCGCCAGAGGACCCCUAAACUCUGUUUCUAUAUGUAACUUCUGAGUAAAACCAUAAAUAAAUCAAAACUUUCAACAACGGAUCUCUUGGUUCUGGCAUCGAUGAAGAACGCAGCAAAAUGCGAUAAGUAAUGUGAAUUGCAGAAUUCAGUGAAUCAUCGAAUCUUUGAACGCACAUUGCGCCCGCCAGUAUUCUGGCGGGCAUGCCUGUUCGAGCGUCAUUUCAACCCUCAAGCACAGCUUGGUGUUGGGACUCGCGUUAAUUCGCGUUCCCCAAAUUGAUUGGCGGUCACGUCGAGCUUCCAUAGCGUAGUAGUAAAACCCUCGUUACUGGUAAUCGUCGCGGCCACGCCGUUAAACCCCAACUUCUGAAUGUUGACCUCGGAUCAGGUAGGAAUACCCGCUGAACUUAAG